rnacentral:lncRNA from 1 species
AUGAUAUUAGGGUUACGCAUGAAGGAGAGGAAGAAGAAAGAUGAACUGUUAAGAAUAGAGUUGCUUUGUUUACCUUCCGUUUUUAUGCUUUCCUCAUUAAAACUUCUCUUUGUGUCAACUCGUGUCCGUUUUUAUCUUUAUCAAAUUUGAGUUCGUUAGUUGGUUAAUACGUCAUCUUAAAUUGGCUGUUUGUAUCCUUCAGUAAUGCUAGAUUUCUUAUCUUAUUCUUUCUAAAUUAUUAAUGUCAAUCGGAUGUAAAGUAUUUUGCGGUAUAUGCUGUCUUUUAAAUGAAAAUUAGCCUUUAACUGAGCAUUGUCUGAAAAUUGUUCAUUUUAGAUGCAUUGCAUAGUUAUUGUCCACUUGUGUUUUUAUAUCUACCCAUGAACUUAUAGCACUGUGCGUUAUGUGGGUCUAGCUCUCAAGACUAGAAGGCACAACUGAACAUACCCGCAACAGAUACCCGUUACAGGACUGAGGUACAUAACCAGCAAUGUGUUGUUAAAUACAGUAUUUUUUGUAUUUUGUUUUUUGUUAUCUGUUUGAAUUGUAUUAAUCCUUUUUUUUUUUCAUUUUUCGCUCUCUACUCAAUCACCAUCAAAAUCACAGAUUAUCUUUCUUCUUCAUUCGAUUUCCGCGAAGAAGGAAUCAUGUGUUAACUGCAAACCUUAAUUGUCGAACUCUCCACCACAAACCGUUUAUUAUGUGAUACACAAAGGAGUUACAAUUGGUUGGAUUUGUAUUCGUGUCGCGCAACUUUAGGAUCGGUGGUUUCAAGGUAAAUCAAUUCUUAAUUUGAAAUUGGUUUCCGUUUGAUGAUCUAUAAAUUUUAUUUUUAUAUCUACAAGGCAUUCUGGAUGAAGACAGUGAUGACAGGGGAGACUUGUGCUCUUUAACUUUUACAAGUUGACAGGGGAGACUUCUUGCUCGGGUUGUUACUGGUCUUGCACUAUUGUACACGGAGUUGUCAAAAGCGAGCGCUUUUUCUGGGCGACUCGCAUUAACUGCGCUUAUGGUUCGUAGGUAAUGAUAGCGCAGACAUUUCAUCCCAUGCGUAUUUAUUGUUUCAGGCUUUUUAUUUUUU